rnacentral:rRNA from 1 species
GAUGAACGCUGGCGGCGUGCCUAAUACAUGCAAGUCGAGCGAACGGACGAGAAGCUUGCUUUUCUGAUGUUAGCGGCGGACGGGUGAGUAACACGUGGAUAACCUACCUAUAAGACUGGGAUAACUUCGGGAAACCGGAGCUAAUACCGGAUAAUAUUUUGAACCGCAUGGUUCAAAAGUGAAAGACGGUCUUGCUGUCACUUAUAGAUGGAUCCGCGCUGCAUUAGCUAGUUGGUAAGGUAACGGCUUACCAAGGCAACGAUGCAUAGCCGACCUGAGAGGGUGAUCGGCCACACUGGAACUGAGACACGGUCCAGACUCCUACGGGAGGCAGCAGUAGGGAAUCUUCCGCAAAGGGCGAAAGCCUGACGGAGCAACGCCGCGUGAGUGAUGAGGGUCUUCGGAUCGUAAAACUCUGUUAUUAGGGAAGAACAUACGUGUAAGUAACUGUGCACAUCUUGACGGUACCUAAUCAGAAAGCCACGGCUAACUACGUG